ACGGAAGGCAGCAGUGGGGAAUAUUGGGCAAUGGGGGAAACCCUGACCCAGCAACGCCGCGUGAAGGAAGAAGGCCUUCGGGUUGUAAACUUCUUUUACCAGGGACGAUAAUGACGGUACCUGGAGAAAAAGCAACGGCUAACUACGUGCCAGCAGCCGCGGUAAUACGUAGGUUGCAAGCGUUGUCCGGAUUUACUGGGUGUAAGGGCGUGUGGGCGGAGCUGCAAGUCAGAUGUGAAAUCCCGGGGCUCAACCCCGGAACUGCAUUUGAAACUGUAGCCCUUGAGUAUCGGAGAGGCAAGCGGAAUUCCUAGUGUAGCGGUGAAAUGCGUAGAUAUUAGGAGGAACACCAGUGGCGAAGGCGGCUUGCUGGACGACAACUGACGCUGAGGCGCGAAAGCGUGGGGAGCAAACAGGAUUAGAUACCCUGGUA
rnacentral:rRNA from 1 species